GCACUCGUGGCGGAAUUGGCAGACGCGCUAGACUUAGGAUCUAGUUCUUUGAGUAAGAGUUCAAGUCUCUUCGAGUGCACCA
rnacentral:tRNA from 1 species